GAUUCAAUUAAAACAAAGCAUUGCGAUGGCCCUCGCGGAUGUUGACGCAAUGUGAUUUCUGCCCAGUGCUCUGAAUGUCAACGUGAAGAAAUUCAAGCAAGCGUGGGCAAACGGCGGGAGUAACUAUGAUUCUCUUAAGAGAAAGCAUAGUUGGGA
rnacentral:ncRNA from 1 species